AAAUGCACUGCAUAGCUGUUUUAGCGUUAACCUUUUAAGUUAAAAAUUGAGGGGAAUACCCUCUG
rnacentral:tRNA from 1 species